rnacentral:misc_RNA from 1 species
UUCUUCCGUUGUUUUCUCCAAGAUGGCAACCGACCGACAAAUCUGGAAAUUAUAAAAAAAAAAUUUGGAAACCGGACGCGGAUUUCAGAAUUAUCGAUAAAUUGGGAAUAUAAUGUUAACUGAUAAACCGAUAAACGAAUGUGUUUGUCCCCGAUGCCUUCAUUCGUCGUGUCCCCUUCCCAAUGCGGAGCCACCGUACGAUGAAAUCACGCAAGAAAUAAAUAAUAAUUUCAUAUCCGUCAAGGUGCCGAAAUGCAAAAGAAAAUUCGAGAAGGAAGACGAGGAUGAGGAAGAAAAAUUGAGUUUUGACUUUAAUUGCGCCGAUGCCGAAGGUGAAAAAUGCAAAACUGGUUGCACCAAAGUUCACGUGAUACCGAACGAGCAUGCCCCACCGAAAAAGCCCGAGGAAGAGAUGCUCUCGUUGAAGUCUAUAAGUCACAUUAUGCCCAACGACAGAUUAGACAACACUAUCGAAAUUGAAUUCAAGGCAGCGCGAAAUUACAAUCCGUUGCCUGAACCCGGACCACCGCCGCCCAUAAUUGUACCAAGGCAGCGUAUUAAGAAGAAGAAGGGCAAGGCUAAAAACAAAUAAGAUUCGAGAGAAAUUGGCAAUUAUGGCCAAUGCGCAGACGUUUCCACGUUUCAACGAUAUUUGUGACUCAACGGAGAAAGAAAGAAAGAGAGGAAAGAUAGUGAGCGAAAUAGCGAAGAGAUACGUUGGGCAGAAAAUCGGGCCCUCUUUAGGGAUUUACGAGUGACACGGAACUAAAACGUUCGCCACUUUGUCGUAAAGCCGAGAGAGAGAGAGAGAGAGAACGAAUAAUGGAACGAUAAAUCACCGGCAUUAUAUUCUUGCGCAUCUUGGGGAGUGGGGAGAGGGACGAUAAAUCAUAUCGCGCACCGAAGGCAUACGGACGCGUCGGUAUUAAACGGUUUUCGUUUCGCCAUUGUCUUCCCACCCGGUAACAGGCGUCUUUUUAAAUCCUGCCUUACUUACUCCUCCGAUUCCGUUUCGACGAAUCGCAAGCGUUACGUUCUCGACUCUAAGCUCUGGACGACAUUCGCAGUUACAAGUUGAGAGCAAAUGAUGGAAAAAACGAAAAGAGGGGAAAAAGCUUGUAAAUCUCGCGCUCCCGUUCAAUUUCUUUCGCCGACAACCGAUUAAUAACUAAGGAUAAAUUUCACGAUGCCGAACUCGUGAUGCUCUCACGAGUUCAUUUACGAUCCAGUAAGUGUUCUUACGGAUGGAGGAUAUAUAUAUAUCGUUUCCAUGGAAACGAAUAUUUCCGUGGAACAACAACGAGGGAUAAAAAGGGAUGGAAAUUUAUCGAUCGUAGACGUAGAUCGAAAGAUCGCGUAAAUUUUCUUUUUUGCCGGUUUCGAAAUAUUUCGAAUAGCGCGAGAAGUGCGGAACAUNUUCGCGUGAGAGCUCGGGGAACGGGGAGGGGGGAGGGAAUACAAUGGCGCGUUUGCGUGUGUUUGCGUGUUGUUGUACGAAUUUCCAGCGUAUUUCCAAAGAGAUCCGUGGAACGCGUAUACGCACAAUUGACGGAAGUAAAAUUUUAUCACGGCACGUAUCGAAUGUACAGUGUGCGCCGCGUGAAUAAAAUACACUCUUUCCAAAACCCGCACCCGGGGUUGCAUCAACGGGGAUCGGAAUAAAAAUAUUUGCAUGCUCCUCGACGAGUUCCCCGUUUCGUUUAAUGAAAAUGUUCCAAAACCCAUAAUUUAUUCUCNNNNNNNNNNNNNNAGAGAGAGAGAGAGAGAGAGAGAGAGAGAGCAAAAAAACACGUCAAUUCGAGAUCGCGACGAUUAGAUUUCGUUCCUCUUCUGUCUUUCCGCCUCUAUCGAUCCACGCGAUAACUAAUUACGAUCCCGUCUAACGAGACCUCUACUCAACCUUCGCGUCAACCGGGAAGCUCAUCAUUAAAGGGAGGAGGGAGGGGGGUUAUGCUUCGCUCAAGAAUCCUCAAUUUGUAUCAGCAAUACCUUCCACCAUGUUGAGAUAUUUCCAUUUCGCUAUCUUUCGGAUCUCAGAUUUUAGAAAAUUUAAUUUUUCCGCCACGGAUUUUUACUUGCUUGCUCGUCGAAAAAUAUGAAAUAAAAUUUUAAAAGACUCGACUAAUCCGGGAUGAAGGAGAAGAAGAAAAAAAAAAAAAAAAACGUUUCGAGGAAAGAUCGAAAAUGGAGCAUACACGAGAUCAACCUUGAAAGGCAAAAUUAGCACCAUUCAUCGAGAGAGGAAGAGAGAGGAAAAAAAAAAAAGGAAACCACGAUCCUCCUUCUCCUUAGGAUCUAUUCCCCUUUAUAAAUAUUUAUUACGCGGAACGAGAAGCCCCGGCAGAAACCACGCAACGAAUUCGAUCGUGAAAGCAUUUGCUUGUAUUUUAAACGAUUUUCUCCGGUACACUGUAUAAUUCAAUAAAAUUUGAAUCUAUCG